rnacentral:rRNA from 1 species
CAACUUCAGCAACGGAUCUCUUGGCCCUCCCAUCGAUCGAAGAACGCAGCGAAAUGCGAUAAGUAAUGUGAAUUGCAGAAUUCAGU